rnacentral:rRNA from 1 species
GUCCUGGCCGUAAACGUUGGGCACUAGGUGUUGGAGGCAUCGACCCCUCCAGUGCCGCAGCUAACGCAUUAAGUGCCCCGCCUGGGGAGUACGGCCGCAAGGUUGAAACUCAAAGGAAUUGACGGGGGCCCGCACAAGCGGUGGAGCAUGUGGUUUAAUUCGACGCAACGCGAAGAACCUUACCCAGACUUGACAUGCACGAGACCGGUGUUGAAAGACAUCUUCCCUUCGGGGCUCGUGCACAGAUGCUGCAUGGCUGUCGU